GUGCAGCCGCCGCGGUAAUACCGGCAGCCCGAGUGAUGGCCGAUAUUAUUGGGCCUAAAGCGUCCGUAGCUGGCCGAACAAGUCCGUCGGGAAAUCCACGUGCUUAACACGUGGGCGACCGGCGGAAACUGUUCGGCUUGGGGCCGGAGGACCCGAGGGGUACGUCCGGGGUAGGAGUGAAAUCCCGUAAUCCUGGACGGACUGCCGAUGGCGAAAGCACGUCGCGAGAACGGAUCCGACAGUGAGGGACGAAAGCCGGGGUCUCCAACCGGAUUAGAUACCCGGGUAGUCC
rnacentral:rRNA from 1 species